rnacentral:rRNA from 1 species
GAGGAAUAUUGGUCAAUGGACGAGAGUCUGAACCAGCCAAGUAGCGUGAAGGAUGACUGCCCUAUGGGUUGUAAACUUCUUUUAUACGGGAAUAAAGUUAGCCACGUGUGGCUUUUUGUAUGUACCGUAUGAAUAAGGAUCGGCUAACUCCGUGCCAGCAGCCGCGGUAAUACGGAGGAUCCGAGCGUUAUCCGGAUUUAUUGGGUUUAAAGGGAGCGUAGGCGGGUUGUUAAGUCAGUUGUGAAAGUUUGCGGCUCAACCGUAAAAUUGCAGUUGAUACUGGCGACCUUGAGUGCAACAGAGGUAGGCGGAAUUCGUGGUGUAGCGGUGAAAUGCUUAGAUAUCACGAAGAACUCCGAUUGCGAAGGCAGCUUACUGGAUUGUAACUGACGCUGAUGCUCGAAAGUGUGGGUAUCAAACAGGAUUAGAUACCCUGGUAGUCCACACAGUAAACGAUGAAUACUCGCUGUUGGCGAUAUACGGUCAGCGGCCAAGCGAAAGCAUUAAGUAUUCCACCUGGGGAGUACGCCGGCAACGGUGAAACUCAAAGGAAUUGACGGGGGCCCGCACAAGCGGAGGAACAUGUGGUUUAAUUCGAUGAUACGCGAGGAACCUUACCCGGGCUUAAAUUGCAACUGACUGAACCGGAAACGGUUCUUUCUUCGGACAGUUGUGAAGGUGCUGCAUGGUUGUCGUCAGCUCGUGCCGUGAGGUGUCGGCUUAAGUGCCAUAACGAGCGCAACCCUUAUCGAUAGUUACUAGCAGGUCAUGCUGAGGACUCUAUUGAGACUGCCGUCGUAAGAUGUGAGGAAGGUGGGGAUGACGUCAAAUCAGCACGGCCCUUACGUCCGGGGCUACACACGUGUUACAAUGGGGGGUACAGAAGGCAGCUACACGGCGACGUGGUGCUAAUCCCUAAAGCCUCUCUCAGUUCGGAUUGGAGUCUGCAACCCGACUCCAUGAAGCUGGAUUCGCUAGUAAUCGCGCAUCAGCCACGGCGCGGUGAAUACGUUCCCG